ensembl:piRNA 21ur-1091 ncRNA
UGUAUGAAAACGUGCCGUCUU